CUACGGGUUGCACCAGUGAGGAAUAUUGCACAAUGGGGGGAACCCUGAUGCAGCAACGCCGCGUGGAGGAUGACGCAUUUCGGUGUGUAAACUCCUUUUAUAUGUCAAGAAAAUGACGGUAGCAUAUGAAUAAGCACCGGCUAACUCCGUGCCAGCAGCCGCGGUAAUACGGAGGGUGCAAGCGUUACUCGGAAUCACUGGGCGUAAAGGACGCGUAGGCGGGUUGGAAAGUCAGGUGUGAAAUCCUACAGCUUAACUGUAGAACUGCACUUGAAACUUCUAAUCUAGAGUAUGGGAGGGGGAGAUGGAAUUAGUGGUGUAGGGGUAAAAUCCGUAGAUAUCACUAGGAAUACCUAAAGCGAAGGCGACCUCCUGGAACAUUACUGACGCUAAGGCGUGAAAGUGUGGGGAGCAAACAGGAUUAGAUACCCCUGUAGUC
rnacentral:rRNA from 1 species